rfam:Solanum lycopersicum cultivar Heinz 1706 chromosome 1, whole genome shotgun sequence.
CAAAAGAAGAGUUUGAUCCUUGCUUAGAAGGAACGCUAGCUAUAUGCUUAACACAUGCAAGUUGAACAUUGUUUUCGGGGAUAUGGGCAGAAGGAAAAGAGGCUCCUAGCAAAAGGUAGCUUGUCUCGCCCAAAAUGUGAGAAGAGUUGAGAACAAAGUGGCGAAAGGGUGUGUAACGCGUGGGAAUCUACCUAACAGGUCGGGCCAAAUCUUGAAGAAAGCUAAAAAUUCCUCUUUGAUGAGCCUGGUAGUAUUAGGUAGGUUGCCAGGUAAUGGCUGACCAAGCAAAUGAUGCUUAGCUGGUCUUUUCGGAUGAUUAGCUUUCCGAUGGAGUGGUGAAAUGCGUAGAGAUUUGAAAGAACACCAACAGCAAAAGCACUCUGCUGGGCCGACACUAACCCUGAGAGACGAAAGCUAGGGGAGCGAAUGGGAUUAUAUACCCCACUAGUCCUAGCCGUAAAGGAUGGUUCUCAUCCUUCAGAGACUAAGAGUGUAAUAAGAGCAUCCGUCGACAAAAGGAUCACCCUAAGAUGAUCAUCUCGUGU